UACGAAGGGGGCUAGCGUUGUUCGGAAUUACUGGGCGUAAAGCGUGCGCAGGCGGCUAUCCAAGUCAGUGGUGAAAGCCCGGAGCUCAACUCCGGAACUGCCGUUGAAACUGUUUAGCUCGAGUACGAGAGAGGUGAGUGGAAUUCCCAGUGUAGAGGUGAAAUUCGUAGAUAUUGGGAAGAACACCGGUGGCGAAGGCGGCUCACUGGCUCGUAACUGACGCUCAUGCACGACAGCGUGGGGAUCAAACAGG
rnacentral:rRNA from 1 species